ACUAAGCGUACACGGUGGAUGCCCUGGCAGUCAGAGGCGAUGAAGGACGUGCUAAUCUGCGAUAAGCGCCGGUAAGGUGAUAUGAACCGUUAUAACCGGCGAUUUCCGAAUGGGGAAACCCAGUGUGAUUCGUCACACUAUCAUUAACUGAAUCCAUAGGUUAAUGAGGCGAACCGGGGGAACUGAAACAUCUAAGUACCCCGAGGAAAAGAAAUCAACCGAGAUUCCCCCAGUAGCGGCGAGCGAACGGGGAGGAGCCCAGAGCCUGAAUCAGCAUGUGUGUUAGUGGAAGCGUCUGGAAAGGCGCGCGAUACAGGGUGACAGCCCCGUACACAAAAGCGCAUGUGUUGUGAGCUCGAUGAGUAGGGCGGGACACGUGGUAUCCUGUCUGAAUAUGGGGGGACCAUCCUCCAAGGCUAAAUACUCCUGACUGACCGAUAGUGAACCAGUACCGUGAGGGAAAGGCGAAAAGAACCCCGGCGAGGGGAGUGAAAAAGAACCUGAAACCGUGUACGUACAAGCAGUGGGAGCCCCACCACUAAGCCAGUGGUGAACUCCACAUACGCAUCCUUUGCUGAGGAUACGGUUAACGGAGCGCAAGCGACGUUCAACCGCAAAAGAAGCAGAGGGGGCUUAGUGGUGGGGUGACUGCGUACCUUUUGUAUAAUGGGUCAGCGACUUAUAUUCUGUAGCAAGGUUAACCGUAUAGGGGAGCCGGAGGGAAACCGAGUCUUAAUUGGGCGUUAAGUUGCAGGGUAUAGACCCGAAACCCGGUGAUCUAGCCAUGGGCAGGUUGAAGGUUGGGUAACACUAACUGGAGGACCGAACCGACUAAUGUUGAAAAAUUAGCGGAUGACCUGUGGCUGGGGGUGAAAGGCCAAUCAAACCGGGAGAUAGCUGGUUCUCCCCGAAAGCUAUUUAGGUAGCGCCUCGUGAAUUCAUCUCCGGGGGUAGAGCACUGUUUCGGCUAGGGGGCCAUCCCGGCUUACCAACCCGAUGCAAACUGCGAAUACCGGAGAAUGUUAUCACGGGAGACACACGGCGGGUGCUAACGUCCGUCGUGAAGAGGGAAACAACCCAGACCGCCAGCUAAGGUCCCAAAGUCAUGGUUAAGUGGGAAACGAUGUGGGAAGGCCCAGACAGCCAGGAUGUUGGCUUAGAAGCAGCCAUCAUUUAAAGAAAGCGUAAUAGCUCACUGGUCGAGUCGGCCUGCGCGGAAGAUGUAACGGGGCUAAACCAUGCACCGAAGCUGCGGCAGCGAGUAAUAGCUCACUGGUCGAGUCGGCCUGCGCGGAAGAUGUAACGGGGCUAAACCAUGCACCGAAGCUGCGGCAGCGAACGUAUCACUUAAAGCGAUUCAGCGGGUUACGAUUGACGGAGCGAAGCGACGUCAAAGCGUAUACAAAGUCGAGUCGGUUUAAGGAUACGUUCGUUGGGUAGGGGAGCGUUCUGUAAGCCUGUGAAGGUGUGUCGUGAGGCAUGCUGGAGGUAUCAGAAGUGCGAAUGCUGUUGGGUAGGGGAGCGUUCUGUAAGCCUGUGAAGGUGGCCUGUGAGGGUUGCUGGAGGUAUCAGAAGUGCGAAUGCUGACAUAAGUAACGAUAAAGCGGGUGAAAAGCCCGCUCGCCGGAAGACCAAGGGUUCCUGUCCAACGUUAAUCGGGGCAGGGUGAGUCGACCCCUAAGGCGAGGCCGAAAGGCGUAGUCGAUGGGAAACGGGUUAAUAUUCCCGUACUUGGUGUUACUGCGAAGGGGGGACGGAGAAGGCUAUGUUGGCCGGGCGACGGUUGUCCCGGUUUAAGCGUGUAGGUGUGUGUUCCAGGUAAAUCCGGUUCACUUUAACACUGAGGCGUGAUGACGAGGCACUACGGUGCUGAAGCAACAAAUGCCCUGCUUCCAGGAAAAGCCUCUAAGCAUCAGGUAACAUCAAAUCGUACCCCAAACCGACACAGGUGGUCAGGUAGAGAAUACCAAGGCGCUUGAGAGAACUCGGGUGAAGGAACUAGGCAAAAUGGUGCCGUAACUUCGGGAGAAGGCACGCUGACAUGUAGGUGAAGUGAUUUACUCAUGGAGCUGAAGUCAGUCGAAGAUACCAGCUGGCUGCAACUGUUUAUUAAAAACACAGCACUGUGCAAACACGAAAGUGGACGUAUACGGUGUGACGCCUGCCCGGUGCCGGAAGGUUAAUUGAUGGGGUCAGCGCAAGCGAAGCUCCUGAUCGAAGCCCCGGUAAACGGCGGCCGUAACUAUAACGGUCCUAAGGUAGCGAAAUUCCUUGUCGGGUAAGUUCCGACCUGCACGAAUGGCGUAAUGAUGGCCAGGCUGUCUCCACCCGAGACUCAGUGAAAUUGAACUCGCUGUGAAGAUGCAGUGUACCCGCGGCAAGACGGAAAGACCCCGUGAACCUUUACUAUAGCUUGACACUGAACAUUGAGCCUUGAUGUGUAGGAUAGGUGGGAGGCUUUGAAGCGUGGACGCCAGUCUGCAUGGAGCCGACCUUGAAAUACCACCCUUUAAUGUUUGAUGUUCUAACGUGGACCCGUGAUCCGGGUUGCGGACAGUGUCUGGUGGGUAGUUUGACUGGGGCGGUCUCCUCCUAAAGAGUAACGGAGGAGCACGAAGGUUGGCUAAUCCUGGUCGGACAUCAGGAGGUUAGUGCAAUGGCAUAAGCCAGCUUGACUGCGAGCGUGACGGCGCGAGCAGGUGCGAAAGCAGGUCAUAGUGAUCCGGUGGUUCUGAAUGGAAGGGCCAUCGCUCAACGGAUAAAAGGUACUCCGGGGAUAACAGGCUGAUACCGCCCAAGAGUUCAUAUCGACGGCGGUGUUUGGCACCUCGAUGUCGGCUCAUCACAUCCUGGGGCUGAAGUAGGUCCCAAGGGUAUGGCUGUUCGCCAUUUAAAGUGGUACGCGAGCUGGGUUUAGAACGUCGUGAGACAGUUCGGUCCCUAUCUGCCGUGGGCGCUGGAGAACUGAGGGGGGCUGCUCCUAGUACGAGAGGACCGGAGUGGACGCAUCACUGGUGUUCGGGUUGUCAUGCCAAUGGCACUGCCCGGUAGCUAAAUGCGGAAGAGAUAAGUGCUGAAAGCAUCUAAGCACGAAACUUGCCCCGAGAUGAGUUCUCCCUGAGACUUAAAGUCUCCUGAAGGAACGUUGAAGACGACGACGUUGAUAGGCCGGGUGUGUAAGCGCAGCGAUGCGUUGAGCUAACCGGUACUAAUGAACCGUGAGGCUUAACC
rnacentral:rRNA from 1 species